rnacentral:miRNA from 1 species
UAUUGCACAUGUUGUACCAA